GACGAACGCUGGCGGCGUGCCUAAUACAUGCAAGUAGAACGCAGUUGCGAAAGGAUGAGUAACGCGUAGUUAACUGCCUCAUAGCGGGGGAUAACUAUUGGAAACGAUAGCAAAUACCGCAUACUGUGAGUUGGACCUGCGUUGUAUUAGCUAGUUGGUGAGGUAAAGGCUCACCAAGGCGACGAUAAAUAGCCGACAUGAGAGGGAGAUGGGGCCAACGGGGGAUGGGGAACGGCCCAAACGCGAACGGGAGGCGGCAGUAGGGAAUCUUGGGGGAAGGACGGAAGACUGACCGAGCAACGCCGCGUGAGUGAAGAAGGUUUUCGGGUCGUAAAGCUGUGUUGUUAGGGAAUCGGUAACUAACGAGAAAGGGACGGCUAACUACGUGCCAGCAGCCGCGGUAAUAC
rnacentral:rRNA from 1 species